GACGAACGCUGGCGGCGUGCCUAAUACAUGCAAGUCGGACGCAGUUGCGAACGGGUGAGUAACGCGUAGGUAACUGCCUCUUAGAGGGGGAUAACUACUGGUAACGAUAGCUAAUACCGCCUACUAGUAGAUGGACCUGCGUUGUAUUAGCUAGUAGGUAGGGUAAUGGCCUCCCUACACAACGAUACAUCGCCGACUUGGGAGGGGGGUCGGCAACAAUGGGAAUGGGAAACGGCCCAGAAUCCGAAGGGGGGCAGCAGUAGGGAAUCUUCGGAAAAGGGGGGAAAGCUGACGGAGGAAAGCGGGGGGAGGGAAGAAAGUUUUCGGAUCGUAAAACUAUGUUGAGAAGGAAGCGGUACUUAACCAGAAAGGGACGGCUAACUACGUGCCAGCAGCCGCGGUAAUUC
rnacentral:rRNA from 1 species